ensembl:lncRNA
UGUGUGUGUGUGUGUGAGUGUGUGUGUGUGUGUGAGUGUGAGUGUGUGAGUGUGUGAGUGUGUGAGUGUGUGAGUGUGUGAGUGUGUGAGUGUGUGAGUGUGUGAGUGUGAGUGUGUGAGUGUGAGUGUGAGUGUGAGUGUGAGUGUGAGUGUGAGUGUGAGAGUGAGUGAGAGUGUGUGUGUGCGCGACCAAGCAUGAGUGUGCGAUAAUUGCCGAUGACUCAUUUUGCCUUAUUUAUGUUGCGCAUUGGAAUCUCUCGCCGUGCCUCGUCAGCCGUUAAUUUCAUUACGGUGCUCGUAUCGUCUCCGUCGCUCUCCGUUCAAUUACCCUCUCAUCGGCGUGCGUUUUCCGCCGAGUCAACGUGCAACACCACGCAGAGGAAGCCGUCACCCCAUCGGGGUCGAUUCGAUGACCGUUUCACAAAGGCUACACCGUUACGUGUCUACUCCACCGGGCUAGGCAGAAAUCCGUACGGCGUACGUGCGCGUCGGAAACCCGUUUCCUGAUUAAGUUUCACAGCCUACGCUUCGAGUCCAUGGCGAAGAGCGUGCCGCACACCUCUCGUGUAACAAAUCAAUUAGGGGCCAAUCAGCAAUAUGAAAGUCGUGUUAAUUCUUUUAAUAUUUCCACGCGCCCCCGGGAGGAAGUGCUGCGCUUAAUUAACGCCGAGACCGUCGGAAGGUGCUAAUUAAGAGGAGUUGGUUCAAAGAGUUUAGGUUUAGGAGCCGUAAUGAGGAUUUCGAGCCUCGGGGACGUCUGGUGCGAGUCCACCGAAGUUCACCGGCGGUGAUCUUCAUCCAGAUGCUCACCUCUGGAGAGAAUUAAAGCAGUCGGUGUAGUUAUAUCUUGACGUGUACUACUAGUUUGUGCAAACAAUACAGCUGAGCGCGUUGUAUUAACACGUGACGCUUCUUACCAUAGUUUCAGCUGGUUGUUACUAAACUCCGUGAACCGCACGGCUUUACACACGCCCGAUCUAAUCUACUGCUCGGGUGAAGAUGUCGCGUGUGCACCGUGUUAAAAGUAACCGCUUAUUUGUGCUUUUUUUUUUUUUAAAAAAAGAAAAUAUUUCGGAAUAAUAAUGAAGCCAUUAUGAACUCUCGAAUUAUGCAGUGACCCAGAACAGUGUUUAAAAACUUUUUUUUUUUUUUUUUUAGACGUGCGCCAAGCAACAAUGAGAGAACAUUGAGAUCAGAGACCCGCCCACUCGGUUUCUAUUGGCUUAAAAGAGCGAGGAUUGUGAAUUCGCAGGUCUCAGUUCACCUAGUUAAAGUUAACAGAAAGCAAACUAAAGUGAGUAAUAGAAGUGUGACUUUCACGUCCCAUGCUCUUUCCCCUUAACGUUAAUUGGCUUCUCACUGGGAGAAUUGUAUUGCCGUUUGGUCUGACUGAUGGUUUUGGCUUUAAAAAAAUAAAUAAAUAAAUAAAAAAAAAAAGCUUGAAAAAAUAAAAAUAAUUGUAGCUCACCUGGAAAAAAAAAAUAAAUAAAAAGAAAAGUUUUACUUUUCUGCUAGUCGAAGCACGGGGAGAACAUGCUAACUCCACGCACACAGAUCCGGAGGCGGGAAUCGAACCCCCAACCCUGGAGGUGCGAGGCGAAUGUGCUAACCGCUGAACCACCGUGCCCCACUAAUCUGUAUUAAUUACCCAAAUGAACUAAAUGUAGAAUUUAAUCUCAGACCGUCCUUCUGUAGCGUAUUUAUCAUCAGGUUCUGAAGUGACCGUAGACGUGCCGUUCUCGAUGUCAUGUAUUUAGAACUGAUUAUCGACCGUAUCGCGUACCAGUCUACUUAAAUUUACCGCCGAAAUCGACUCGGGAUCUAGGAAGCUCAGGAAACGUAUAAUGGAAAUGCGGGUAUGAAACGAGGCUUUAAAUACACGUACUGAUAAGGAACUAAUCACGAACAGCUGGGUACAAAGCGUCGACGUGACAAAGGGCGGAGACGGGGCAAGAAACGGGAAUAACGAUCGGGACAAUAAGAGCACGGGCUAUGCGGAUGCUCAGAGGGGAUUCGUGACACCCGUGUUCUACCGAAGGCCUGUUUUAAUGUUAGAGUUAAUCAAUCUAAUCGAUCAAUAAUCACUCUGGUGUUCAGUUCUUGAUUAAAACGCUGCUGUAGGGCGUUCACAUGGCUUUUAUAGUAUAAAUUCUCAGUCAUGCUGGUUUUUCACGGCUCUGUGAUUCUUACCAUUUUAAAAAAAUCCAGAAAAAAAAACAAACAAACGUUUUAAACUUCCAGAACCUUCCAGGAUUAAGGAGAGUACAGGAGGGUGUAAUAAUAUUACCAGCUGUGUAGUCGGCGAUGGCAAAGAAACAUACGCCAAUGUUAAAUUGCAGCGCUUUUCGGCAGGUCCGCACAUCUGGAAAUAUCAUCGAAUCGGAGUAAAUCGCUGGAAAUCACGCCGAUCAAAUCGUUCACAUCACACGAGCCUGUCCUCGUUGUAGACGUCGUAACCCGUGGUCAUAGCGAGUCUAAAUAAUAGCACCUUUUCUAAAACUCAAAUACAUCUCUGAGAUAAUAUCCAAACUUAUUACACGGCGCGAAUCUAAAUCUAAUAUAAUACAGGACAAGAGCCACGAUGAAGGAAACGACAACAACAAAAAAGUGUUGAGUGAAUAAGUUUUUUUUUUGUUUGUUGUUUUUAAAGAACAGAAGUCAAAAGAAACAUUUUUUUUUUUCCCUUUUGGACCUCUCCUCCUUGCCAUAAAGUUUAUUUUCUCCGAUCUCAGAUCCUCAAAAUGUUCCUUAAGGACAAGUCAAUAAAGCGCUAUAAAUACAAACUGCUUCCUCACGUCCUCUGGGAUUUGCCUAGUGCCAGAAGUUACACGUUCUGCUGAGGCAAACACGGGUCAGGUUCUUUUGCUCCUCAAGCAACCCUUACUUUUUUAAAUGUUUUUAUUUAAAAUAAACAGUAAAAAAAACAAAAAAAACACGACGCCUAACUUUUAUUGAGGUCGGUCUGUUCUGCGUCUGCCCUGGAAACAGAAUGCGACUCGAAUGCUGCCGCAGCUUUCCUCCGUCCUUUCGGCUUCGUACGAGGACGGCCGAUAGGUCAAGAUGUGCUCGGGGCACGCAUCGUACCUAAAGGGACAUCUGCUCCCGUGCUCCAGAGACCGCAGCGUGCUUCACUUAAUGCUAAUGCGGGAGGACGAGAACGAGGCAGCGACGGUAAACAACUAAACUGUGAGGAUAAAAUCAGUUGGGGAAAGAUUCCGGAGGGUUUGGACGGGAUCUGGAACAGGCUUCAGUGUUUCCAGAGAUAAUUAUUUGACUUUGCGUUACGUUUUGUAAAAAAAAUAAAUGUUGUGGCGUUGAUCUUGAUGAUUUACCUCAUCAUCGCCGAGAUAUUUUGAAAAUGAUCUAUUUAUUUGCUUGUUUAUGAAGCAGGUGGCCAAGGACGAGGGUCUUGUAAACAAGAUUUUUGUGUUAUUUUUUUAAUCCGGGGGCCAAGCACUAAAGGUGCAUAGGCACCCUAUUGUUGCAUUUAGAUGAACUGAAGUGCGCACUGAAAUGAGAGAUUUGACGUAGCUGAACGUCACCGUUCGAGGGUUCCAGAGUCAAAAAAAAAGAAACGUCCCUGGUGCUUUUAUUUCUUCCUGAAUGGAAAUUUUAGAUUAUUUCGAUGAACUUUUUGAUUAUUGUGAAACUGCUUUUAACUUCUUCUGUUGUGUGUUAAAAUGUGCA